rnacentral:rRNA from 1 species
UACGGGGGGGGCAAGCGUUGUUCGGAAUUACUGGGCGUAAAGGGCUCGUAGGCGGCCAACUAAGUCAGACGUGAAAUCCCUCGGCUUAACCGGGGAACUGCAUCUGAUACUGGAUGGCUUGAGUUCGGGAGAGGGAUGCGGAAUUCCAGGUGUAGCGGUGAAAUGCGUAGAUAUCUGGAGGAACACCGGUGGCGAAGGCGGCAUCCUGGACCAACACUGACGCUGAGGAGCGAAAGCCAGGGGAGCAAACAGG